rnacentral:tRNA from 1 species
UUUAGAAGUGAUACGUCGGGUUGCAAACCUGAAACAGCGCUAGCCUAAGUUA